CCUACGGGUGGCAGCAGUGGGGAAUAUUGCACAAUGGGCGAAAGCCUGAUGCAGCAACGCCGCGUGAGCGAUGAAGGCCUUCGGGUCGUAAAGCUCUGUCCUCAAGGAAGAUAAUGACGGUACUUGAGGAGGAAGCCCCGGCUAACUACGUGCCAGCAGCCGCGGUAAUACAUAGGGGGCUAGCGUUAUCCGGAAUUACUGGGCGUAAAGGGUGCGCAGGUGGUUUCUUAAGUCAGAGGUGAAAGGCUACGGCUCAACCGUAGUAAGCCUUUGAAACUGGGGAACUUGAGUGCAGGAGAGGAGAGUGGAAUUCCUAGUGUAGGAGUGAAAUGCGUAGAUAUUAGGAGGAACACCAGUGGCGAAGGCGGUCUGCUGGACAGCAACUGACGGUGAGGCGCGAAAGCGUGGGGAGCAAACAGGAUUAGAUACCCCUGUAGUC
rnacentral:rRNA from 1 species